UACGUGAGGGCCUAGCGUUGUCCGGAAUUAUUGGCGUAAAGAGCGUGUAGGCGGCAGGUAGGUCUGCUGUGAAAACUCGAGGCUCAACCUCGAGACGUCGGCGGAAACCAUCUGGCUAGAGUCCGGAAGAGGAGAGUGGGAAUUCCUGGUGUAGCGGUGAAAUGCGCAGAUAUCAGGAAGAACACCCGUGGCGAAGGCGGCAUCCUGGACCGGCAUUGACGCUGAGGCGCGAAAGCCAGGGGAGGC
rnacentral:rRNA from 1 species